rnacentral:misc_RNA from 1 species
UGCGAUACACUUCUUGACCGUCUAGAUCAGCCAGGACGUUGGCACGUGUAGCGUAUUUUGCGGGGUCUCUCGAGAUUAGGAAUCGUCGUCCCUUUGUUGGUUGGUUUCUCGUGUGCACGGUGGGUUCGUUGCUUUGUUACUUUCGCAUCGUUCGGUGCAUUCUGGGGGCUGUUUUGGCUUUUGGUGGCUUGCUUGGCCUUUUGGCUUGGCUUGUUGCUACUUGUCGGGCGGCCUUCGGGAAUGUCGACCGUGGAGGUGCAUGAGUGGUGUUUGGUUUGUUACGUGUGGAUGGCUGUUUGCUUGCGCAACAACGUUCACGCUGCAUACCUCUUCAGUUUUGCGGCAAGGCUUUGUUUGGCUUGUCCGUAUUGUGGGUUUCCUGUGUUGCAUACCUAGUUGAUGGAAAAGUAUGGUUUUACGAUUUUCAUUUUCGUCCUGCGUCGUUCUUUCGGCAUGGGAUGAGCAAUGAAGCGAUCUUUAUGAUCCACCGUGCUGUUGCGUUUGCAACAAUGAUGUGGCCUAUGAAGCAUCGUUUGGUCUCUUGUAUACGGAAGCUCAUUUGGGCUUGGGUCUUUAUAAGAUCUUCGUUAUGCCCUUGUUAAGCGUUCUCGCUUCUCCUAAACGAUUG